UACGUAGGGUGCAAGCGUUAAUCGGAAUUACUGGGCGUAAAGCGUGCGCAGGCGGUUGUGCAAGACAGAUGUGAAAUCCCCAGGCUCAACCUGGGAAUUGCAUUUGUGACUGCACGGCUAGAGUGUGUCAGAGGGGGGUAGAAUUCCACGUGUAGCAGUGAAAUGCGUAGAGAUGUGGAGGAAUACCGAUGGCGAAGGCAGCCCCCUGGGAUAACACUGACGCUCAUGCACGAAAGCGUGGGGAGCAAACAGG
rnacentral:rRNA from 1 species